AUCCUGGCUCAGGAUGAACGCUGGCGGCGUGCCUAACACAUGCAAGUCGAACGGAGAUCAUAAGGAUGCGACUUCGGUCAAAUGACUUUUGAACUUAGUGGCGGACGGGUGAGUAACGCGUGAGCAACCUGCCUUUCAGAGGGGGAUAACAUUUGGAAACAGAUGCUAAUACCGCAUAAGAUUACAGUACCGCAUGAUACAGUGAUCAAAGGAGCAAUCCGCUGAAAGAUGGGCUCGCGUCCGAUUAGAUAGUUGGUGAGGUAACGGCUCACCAAGUCGACGAUCGGUAGCCGGACUGAGAGGUUGAACGGCCACAUUGGGACUGAGACACGGCCCAGACUCCUACGGGAGGCAGCAGUGGGGAAUAUUGCACAAUGGGCGAAAGCCUGAUGCAGCAACGCCGCGUGAGGGAAGACGGUUUUCGGAUUGUAAACCUCUGUUUUCGGUGACGAACAAAUGACGGUAACCGAGUAGGAAGCCACGGCUAACUACGUG
rnacentral:rRNA from 1 species